UACGGAGGGAGCUAGCGUUGUUCGGAAAUACUGGGCGUAAAGCGCACGUAGGCGGCGCAGCAAGUCAGGGGUGAAAUCCCGGGGCUCAACCCCGGAACUGCCCUUGAAACUGCAGUGCUAGAAUUCUGGAGAGGCGAGUGGAAUUCCGAGUGUAGAGGUGAAAUUCGUAGAUAUUCGGAAGAACACCAGUGGCGAAGGCGACUCGGUGGACAGACAUUGACGCUGAGGUGCGAAAGCGUGGGGAGCAAACAGG
rnacentral:rRNA from 1 species